rnacentral:misc_RNA from 1 species
AAAUCACCUCCCCCCAUUUUCCUACGAAUUUCCAAGAAUACCCUUAAAGUCUCAAACCUUAACUUCCAACGUUGAAAUGUUUCUGCUACCCGAGAUCUGGCGUAUAGAAAAUGAACAACAGACUCUGUCCCCGAGUUAAGGUAUUAAAUUGAUGAAUGAGUCACGAAAACGGAAAACAUUUCAUCGUAUCACGUUGGCCAGUGACUAAUAGAACUUGUCCAACUCGAUUAUUCGGCUUGAAGAUGCGUAAGCUUAAUGGCCGUUGGCCAAGUUCGAGACACGUUGCUUAAGUGACUGAUGUUUACGGAUUAUUCGAAAAAUCCUGUGACCUAAGGUUCGUUUUCUGUUCGAGAUAAAUCAGCCAGGACACACAGCUCGUGUAUUAAUAUGGAACGCGAUGUAAUGAAAAAAAUUACGUAACGAAGACGAAAAACGAUACAGGCAAACAAGGGUAGAGAAGAAGAAAAAAGUUGAAGAUGUGGCUCUAAGGCGGUGGCUUGACAGUUUCGUCCACCCUUCGCCAUUAACAGCGAAGUCCAAUCCAAGUGUCGGAGAAUACGGUGGCAGCAGCGUCGGCGGCGGGACCGCAUCUGCAUAUGCGAACACAGCG